rnacentral:lncRNA from 1 species
CCGGUGCCCGGGGCGUAGGCGCCGGGCAGGGCUGCCUCCGCACUGGUUGCUCCGGCUCCAGCUGGGAGAGGAUUUUCUUCGACGUAACUGCCAGAUUAAGCUACCAUUUAGUCUUCUUCUGUUCAAAACCAAGACAGGAAAGCGUGGAGGACUGAGUGCUGUGCUCAGCUCUUCUCCAGCCAUCAUGACAUACUCCUCAUAACCAUCCUAUGGGGUAGGUACUGCCAGCCCCCACUCAGUGGGACAGAUGGGUUCAGAGGGGGAAUGACAUGCCGGUAGUUGAACACACGUUUCUUAUUUUGUUUUGUUUCUGCCUUCGAGUUUAAUGCUAAUUCUGAAACAAAAAAGUUAUAACUUUCUUAACCUGCCUUGCUGUGACUUCUUAUUUCCAAGUACAUCUAGCAAAAAUAGAACCUCUACAU